rnacentral:lncRNA from 1 species
GUGAGUAUACUUUGAGUGUUGCUAUACGGUGCGGGUUUCUGUCAGCACUAUACCGAAAUUCAGUCAGAAGUACGGUUAUUUUGAGGUAAGGGGUAUUAUUUUCUUCUUAAAUGAUAUUUUUUCUUCAAUAUCAUUAUGCCGAAGUAUUGGUGAACUUUUUUAUCAAAUUUGGAACUUGUUGUGUCGGGGUUACUAUUCACGUAUACGGCACUAUUCACGUAUACGACACUAUUCACGAAUACGGCACUAUUCACCGAAAAAUAAAAAUUUUUCUUUUUGUCCAAAAUAUCUAUUCUGGAUACUAGCUUUGAUUGUAUCCAUGUUUUGAUCAUUCUUGAAUUUUACACCAAUAUGAUUAUUUUCGAAGUAUUUUUGGACAUGGGUAAAACAAAGUACGAAUCCUUAAUCCUUAAUCCUUGUCAUUUUGUUUCACUGGAUUCGUUUCUUUAAAAAUGUUUUUCAUCAUCCUCAGUCCUAAAUGGUGAUAUAAAUGAAUAUCUUUGGCCUGUAGUGCAAAGAUGAACGAUUAACUGAUGAAUAUCUUUGGCCUGUAGUGCAAAGAUGAACAGGUGUUGAGAUGAACAUGACCAACUGGUGAUACAAAUGAAUAUCUUUGGCCUGUAGUGCAAAGAUGAUUAAAGAUGUAUAUUGAUUGUUAUUACAGGGAUAAACUAUUGAUGAUGGACUUUUAAACCUUAGAAGACAGUAGAAUUCUUUCUCUACGUGACUCUUCUAAUGGAUUGCUGUUUCCGCUGCAUUUGUUGAUCUAAAACUUGUUGUCUAUUGUAUUCUAUUAGAUUUUUCCCUGUUGAAGACUAACGAUAAUUUGUUGUAUAUUAUCUUAGUCAUAAUAUUCUUUACUGGGCUAGUUGAGCUCACCCUUUUCCUUUUUGUUCCAUUUUUCUUCUCAGGAGGUGAGAACAUAGCAGGAUCGAGUCGGGGUAUGGAGUGAUGGCUCUAGGAAGAUGUUUUAGCUGUCCUCACUAUUUCUGUAAAAUAGUGUAUGAAUAAUUAAUGAGGACUUAUUUGGGUGUGUAUAUUGUCUAGAAGACAAUAUUUGUAUUCAAACUCACAGUUGUAUUGUCGUAUUCUACACGACAUCUGUAUUGUCAAAGUUGUAGUUUGCUUUCUAUACCAUGUAUUUUGGCGACUCAGAAUGGGUGUUGUAUACCUAUUUUGGGGGCGUCACAU